UAGGGAAUCUUCGGCAAUGGACGAAAGUCUGACCGAGCAACGCCGCGUGAGUGAAGAAGGUUUUCGGAUCGUAAAACUCUGUUGUUAGAGAAGAACAAGGGUGAGAGUAACUGUUCACCCCUUGACGGUAUCUAACCAGAAAGCCACGUCUAACUACGUGCCCG
rnacentral:rRNA from 1 species